AGCUACAGCUGCUUAAAAAUUAUCUGACUCCAACAUUGGCAGUCACCAUGACGGGGCCACCACUGAGAAAAGACUACAGUUUCAUUCAUUCUGAUCAAAUUCAACUUGGUGUUGUCAGUUCCUUCCUGAAGUUUAGGCUUGCUUGGGGGAAAACUUCAGAAGUCCAAUUUUGAUGCCCAUGAUUUGACAAAGCCCAUGAUGCUAGCCAUUGUGAAAUUCAUCGGAUGGGAGCUGGUCUUCUUUCUGCUCUUCUCUGUCUGUUCUGAAAGAAAAACAAAGAAUGAGAACAGUGUGUUCCGAGAGAUCCUCACGUUUGAAUCCCUCAUUUUAUAGCUCUUGGCAGGAGAAAUCCACCUUCAGUAAUAAAGAAAAAUAAGUUUAUGAACCAUGACUUUAUGUUGCAUUUGACUCCCAGAUUCUGAUGAAGCCAUCAUGGGGAAUAUGCUAUUAACUAUAUAGCUUCCCAGCUUGCAAGAAUAUGCAAGGGUGACACUCCAGGUAAAGCCUGUGGGUCCCUUCACACCUGCUUGUGUCUGAGUACCUGUUCAUAACUGAGGGUUGUCUCUGUGCCUGAGAACUCAGCGGUGUUAAAAUUCAAGUGCUCCGUAUUUUUAAAAAUAUCUUAUUCCUCACAGUGAAUUCUAGAAUCCAAGGAUCUGCUCUGCUCUGCCAACAUCAAAGUACUGAGUGGGAGGCUGGAGCAGAACAUGUAUAUAAAUCUGGUAAACAGUGUUUAAAAUUAGUAUGUGACAACCACAAUUUUUAUCCUUUUCCAUGGCUUCCCUUGGGCAUUAAUUAAUACAACAUUUUAAGCAUUUUCUCUUGCAGAGUUACUUGUCCUGUGUAUUAAAAUAUUCAGACUAUGCAUCCAACAGACAGAAAUACUAAAUUUUAAUGACUAUUUCUGAAAUAGCAGGGAGUUGCAAUGGUCAUACUCAGUCUGUAAUAGACAUCGGUAAAACUGAAAUCCUCUCCAUUAAUAUGCAGAUGAGCCAAGUUUGAAAAUUACCUUUUGGAGGGAGAGAUGUUUUGUUCCUGAUGGAAAGUUAAAAUUAGGGUAUGUUACUAUGAUUUUGGGAAAUGGUCUCUGUAUCUACCUGUUUAUUAUUGUCUGUCUCUUAUCUCUCCUUUCUUCCUUCCCCUCUCUUCCCUCUGAUUCCUUUCCUUCCUCCUCCCUCCCUCCCCAUCCCUCUCUUUUUCCUUCCCUUCCUCUCUUAUUUGAAUAUAGAAAAUUGAAUUCUGCUAUAUCAGUCUUCUGCACUUUAUCUUUGUAUUGUUUAUGAGAAUAAAAAUGGUAUCAAAACUAAUAUAGAUGCAUAUUAGAUGUUAAAAACUUGUUCUCCCAUUGUUUACAAAUAUUCCUUUUUUAAUCAUCUACCUGGUAAAUGACUGAUUGAAUGUAUAACCAAAGCACACUGCUCGUUUGGACUUACAACUAGUUUUUUUUUUUUCCUAACAGUUCUGUAUAUCCUGUUUACAGAGCCUCAAUAUCCUUUUCUGUGUACAGUAUACCUUGGUUAUAUAGCACUAUAAU